GCCCACUCUCGCGAUAACUCUUUUGCUGAUUUAAUUCGUGAGAUGAAGCAGAACUGCUUUAGCUUUUGACUUCUGCUGUGAAGAUCAGUUCAUUAUGAAGCUGUGUAUAUUAUUCAUUAUUUUUUCCUGCAUUGCUAUUAUCACUGCUUUGCCUGCAUCUAACAAGGAACCAUUUGUGUGUACUAAGGAGUGUCUGAACGGCGGUGAAUGUGUAGGCCCGGACACGUGCUUUUGCAGAUAUGCAAACUUUGAAGGGCCCCAAUGCGAGCUACCAGUAAACCGCUGCAAUUCCUCGGGUCCUUCAAAAAACCUAAAAUCAUUUACCUGCACUCUAUCACGUUGCGAACUUGAGUGCAAGCCUGGCUAUGUAUUUCCUCCGCUUGGGAAGUCAGAGAUCAGUUUAUUCUGUCGCACAGACGUGUGGGUUCAAGAAGGAGCAAACACCACAAGCACUGACCAUCCUAUUUGCCAACCGAAAUAAAACAGAUCAAUCACACCAACAAUUUUAUUGCUAUGGAAAUAAGUCCAAAAUAAAUCGAUAGUUUGCUCUGUAUUGUAUA